AGAACGAACGCUGGCGGCAUGCCUAAUACAUGCAAGUCGAACGAACACUUCGGUGUUAGUGGCGCACGGGUGCGUAACGCGUGGGAAUCUGCCCUUGGGUUCGGAAUAACAGUUGGAAACGACUGCUAAUACCGGAUGAUGACGAAAGUCCAAAGAUUUAUCGCCAAGGGAUGAGCCCGCGUAGGAUUAGCUAGUUGGUGAGGUAAAGGCUCACCAAGGCAACGAUCCUUAGCUGGUCUGAGAGGAUGAUCAGCCACACUGGGACUGAGACACGGCCCAGACU
rnacentral:rRNA from 1 species